UGUUGGUACUGUCCAGUCCUCUACCAGGUCCCCCAUCUACACAAUGAAGUGGUCUUGAGUCUUGUCUUCUGAUUGAAGACCACCAGUCAGUAGAAAUACAGUUAUGUCUAGAAAAGAUGUAAAGAAAGAAAGACUACAGUUAACCAGAGAAAGAGAAAAUGUGACACAUGAUAAUUUUUUAGUCCGAGUCUGUUUGUGAAAAGACUAUCAGCUCUGUGUUCGUGUAUAUGUGUGUAUUUGCCAGUGUGAGUGUGUGUCUCUCUCUCUGCGUGCGUGCCCCUCUACUCCCAUCCCUCUCGCUCAGGGUCCCAUACGUAGUGGUCUAAUCGUGCAGGGUAACUUGUCCCUCUCUCAGCAGCAACAGACCUGACGGUGGGGAAGAUCUACGCUGCCAUGAUGAUCAUGGAGUACUACAGGCAGAGCAAGGCCAAGCGCUCUCAGGCGCGGCUAGAGGCGGAGCAGAAUCGAACGACAUUACUGUUUCAGCGCGUGGAGCCGCCCUCCCCCAUCCNNNNNNNNNNCUCUCUCUCUGGGUCUCUCUCUCUGUCCUCUCCCUCUCUCUCUGUUUUCUCUCUCCCUCUUUCUCUGCAGCCAGAGGGAGGAUGGGUAGUGGCUCCACAGGUGGAGUGUCAUCCACAAGAAGGAGGAGCAGGACGACACGCUGGGCGGACAUGCCUCACGUGUAGAGGACCUGUGUGUGUAUGUGUGUGUGUAGUGUGUUCAGAAAGGGUUUGUGGGGAUGAGUGCAUUCAGUUAGCCUCAUACAAGCGCUGA
rnacentral:lncRNA from 13 species